UACAGAGGGUGCAAGCGUUGUUCGGAAUUAUUGGGCGUAAAAGGAGUGUAGGCGGCUCGAUAAGUCUUCUGUGAAAUCUACGGGCUAAACCUGUAAAGUGCAGAGGAUACUGUCAGGCUAGAAUGUCAAAGAGGAGAGUGGAAUUCCCGGUGUAGAGGUGAAAUUCGUAGAUAUCGGGAGGAACACCAGUGGCGAAGGCGGAGACCUGGGCCGAUACUGACGCUGAGGUGCGAAAGCGUGGGGAGCAAACAGG
rnacentral:rRNA from 1 species